UACGUAGGUGACAAGCGUUGUCCGGAAUUAUUGGGCGUAAAGAGCUCGUAGGCGGUCUGUUGCGUCCGCUGUGAAAACUCGGGGCUUAACCCCGAGCCUGCAGUGGAUACGGGCAGACUAGAGGUAGGUAGGGGAGAAUGGAAUUCCCGGUGUAGCGGUGAAAUGCGCAGAUAUCAGGAGGAACACCGGUGGCGAAGGCGGGACUCUGGGCCGAUACUGACGCUGAGGAGCGAAAGCGUGGGGAGCAAACAGG
rnacentral:rRNA from 1 species